AUUGAACGCUGGCGGCAUGCCUUACACAUGCAAGUCGAACGCGAAAGCGGGGCAACCCGCAAGUAGAGUGGCGAACGGGUGAGUAAUACAUCGGAACAUAUCCAGUAGCGGGGGAUAACCUGUCGAAAGAUAGGCUAAUGCCGCAUACGACCUACGGGUGAAAGCGGAGGACCGCAAGGCUUCGCACUAUUGGAGUGGCCGAUGUCGGAUUAGCUAGUUGGCGGGGUAACGGCCCACCAAGGCGACGAUCCGUAGCUGGUCUGAGAGGACGACCAGCCACACUGGAACUGAGACACGGUCCAGACUCCUACGGGAGGCAGCAGUGGGGAAUUUUGGACAAUGGGCGCAAGCCUGAUCCAGCCAUGCCGCGUGAGUGAAGAAGGCCUUCGGGUUGUAAAGCUCUUUCGGCGGGGACGAAAUGGUUCGUGCUAAUACCACGGAUUGAUGACGGUACCCGAAGAAGAAGCACCGGCUAACUACGUGCCAGCCGCCGCCGUAAUAC
rnacentral:rRNA from 1 species